CCCUGUCCUGACCCUGCCAUGGGCACCAGACUCCUCUGCUGCGUGGCCCUCUGUCUCCUGGGGGCAGGUCACACAGGAGCUGGUGUCCUCCAGUCCCCCCGGCACAAGGUCACAAAGAGGGGCCGGGACGUGGACCUCAGGUGUGACCCAAUUUCUGGUCAUGUUGGCCUCUACUGGUACCGACAGGCCGUGGGGCAAGGCCCGGAGUUUCUCGUUUCCUUCCAAAACGAGGACAAAGUAGACUCCUCAGGGAUGCCCAGCAACGAUCGGUUCCAGGUGAACAGGUCCGAGGGGUCCUACUCCAUUCUGCAGAUCCAGCGUGCGGAGCCGGGGGACUCAGCUGUGUACCUCUGUGCCAGCAGCCCUACCACAGUGGGGCACAGCCACCUCCUUCCUCUUCACCAACCUCAGACUUCUCUCUCCCUGCACCUGAAGACCGUAAACAGGCUGUCCCUACUCAUCGUUCCCCAAUCACAAGAAGUAGAUUUGGAUAUCAGCUCUCAGCUGUCCUUGGGUAGAAAAAGACACUAAACUCCUGAAGGGAAUGUAAAUGAGGGUGGAUCAAAUAAUUAUGGCCCAUAGGGUUGGAAGACUCCCAGGGCUGGCUCCGGGCUCCAAGGCCAGGACUGAACAACAGGGACACAGUGGUCCUUCUGCAAGACCUGAGGCUUUCCGUGUAGUGGGCGGUGCCUCCUUCUCUGCAUUUGUGGUGCCAUCUGGGAAGUUUGUGUCAUUCUUGACAUAUUCUUACUUCUUUUUUUUUUUCAUUAUUAAUUAUGUAUUUUGAGAGAAAGAGAGAGAGAGACCAUGGAGGGGCAGAGAAUGAGGGAGAGAC